GACGAACGCUGGCGGCGUGCUUAACACAUGCAAGUCGAACGGAAAGGCCUGCUUUCCCUUGUGGAUUGCGGGUACUCGAGUGGCGAACGGGUGAGUAACACGUGAGUGAUCUGCCCCCAACUUGGGUAUAAGCCUGGGAAACUGGGUCUAAUUCCCGAUAGGACUGCAAGGUGGUGCCUGUGGUGGAAAACGAUUUUCUAGUGGUUGGGGAUGAGCUCGCGGCCUAUCAGCUUGUUGGUGGGGUAAUGGCCUACCAAGGCGGCGACGGGUAGCCGGCCUGAGAGGGUGGACGGCCACAUUGGGACUGAGAUACGGCCCAGACUCCUACGGGAGGCAGCAGUGGGGAAUAUUGCACAAUGGGCGGAAGCCUGAUGCAGCGACGCCGCGUGGGGGAUGACGGCCUUCGGGUUGUAACCUCCUUUCGACCGCGAGGAAGCCACCUGGUUGGAAGGGUGGUGACGGUAGUGGUAGAAGAAGCACCGGCUAACUACGUG
rnacentral:rRNA from 1 species